rnacentral:rRNA from 1 species
AACGAACGCUGGCGGCAUGCCUAACACAUGCAAGUCGAACGAGACCUCCGGGUCUUGUGGCGCACGGGUGCGUACCGCGUGGGAAGCUGCACUUAGGUUAGGAAUCCCUCCCCGUGAGGGAUGCUCAUACCGGAUAAUGUCUUCGCACCUAAGAUUUCUCGCCUUUGGAUGGGCCCGCGUUGGAUUAGGCAGUUGGUAGGGUAAAAGCCUACCAAGGCGACGAUCCAUAGCUGGUCUGAGAGGAUGAUCAGCCACACUGGGACUGAGACACGGCCCAGACUCCGACGGGAGGCAGCAGUGGGGAAUAUUGGACAAUGGGCGAAAGCCUGAUCCAGCAAUGGCGCGUGAGUGAUGAAGGCCUUAGGGUUGUAAAGCUCUUUUACCCGGGAUGAUAAUGACAGUACCGGGAGAAUAAGCCCCGGCUAACUCCGUG